CCGAGAGCAGAGACCAGAGACCAGAGACCAGAGAGAAAGCCAAAGCAGAAGCUUCGAUCAACACAGCAAGUGAGAGAAAACCAGAAAUCGAGCCAAAACAGAGGUCGAGAGAGAGAGAGAGAGAGAGAGAGAGAGAAAUUCCUCAAACCCAGACCAGAGUCGCGACGUUAGACCAAGCACUAGAAGUCAGUCGCGACUUCGACGAAUACAGAGAGGGCUGUCGCGACUCCGGAGAAGCCCAGAAAGACCUUCGUGGCGUCAGAGAAGACCAGUGAAGACUUCAAACAGCAAGCGGGAAUGAAGAGAAAGAACUUCAAAUGAUCAAGGCCAGACCUAGGGUUUCGGACGUGGCUCUGAUACCAUCAACUGAUGAUCACUUCGAUGUCUAAAAAGCUAUGCUGGCAGAUCCGGGAAAAAUGGCCCACCUGAGAUACGACCAUCCAUUGAGAAUAAAACAAUCCACACAUGGGGGAAAGUAGCAUCUUCUUCUGGAAGUUGUGUAGUGGAACAGAUUAGCGUUAUUAGGACAAGAGUGCUUCCAUUGAUUCAGCAAUUGGUCACGUUGUCUCACUGAUAAACCAUAUUUGCGAGAUCAUGAUCAUGUCACGGUCAUUUUCAAACCAAAAGAACUUGUAUAUCCUAAGCAUCAUCUGACAUUCAUUCUUAUCAUUUGAAUGAAUUUUUUUAAUUGCUGAAA